CAUUUCUCUUCUUCUGGCUAGACAACGACGCGACAACCAAACACACGACCUCACUCCAUCUCUCAUAAUAACCAGCGGCAGAACACAAACAACACACUCCAUCGAUUCAUCUAUUUCAACGAUAGCAGCCACAGAUCUCUCUUUUAUUUUGAAAAGAAAAUCAAUCCUGGUCCAGUCUAUUUUCGAGUUCGCUGCCAAUCGAGAUUGUUCGACGUUGAUUCCGAUUCAAACCCUACCG
rnacentral:lncRNA from 1 species